UUGACAAGCCUCCAAACCCCCCCUCUUUCCUAACAACACACCACACUGCACUGCACUGCACUGCACUGUGCAAUCAGUGAUAUGCAACAUGCAGGCAGUGUGGUGGCCAACCCUUCCCUCUCUACUAGUCAUCUCCUCCUACCCCUGCCCGAGAUACCGGCUCUCAACUGUGCAGUGAGCUGGCGCCUUCUGUCCCCAAUGGCGCCUGGAGCUGAGCUCCACUUGUUCCACCCUCCCUACGCAGGAGACAGUGCUUACCCUCUGUGUCGGUGGAUCAGAGCAACAGUUGGCAAACAGCUCCGCACAUGCCCCCACCAGAUUAUUCCACCUUUUGCUAAAAGGCUGAACAGUUCUCCACAAAGGACAGUCAUUUAAUGUGUUCAACAUGUUGUCCCUCUUGGUCAACACAAAUUCGAAGGCUCUGGAUCCAAUCGUCAUGCACUCGCAGAAGGAUUUCCGAAGAAAUGCUGACACACCCUUCUUCAAUGCGUUGCUGGAGAUGAUAUCUGUUUCUUAUUUUCUCCACAUACACGAGUUGCUUUAAAUGACCCCAUAGAUAAAAGUCAGGUGGUGUGAGGUCAUGUGAUCUGGGUAGCCAUUCCACAGAACCACGUCGGCCAAUCCAAUUACCAGGAAAUUGACCAUCUAACCACUGAUGAACAACGGCUCCGUAGUGUGGUGGAGCCCCAUCCUGCUGAAAGUAACAUGGGAAGCUGCCAUCUUCAUUCACAACUGAGGGGAGCACCACUUCUUGCAGCAUUUGGAAGUAGCGUUGUGCAUUUAGGUUCUGGUCAAUGAAAAUGGGUCCAAUUACACGGGUACCCCAUAUCCCAUACCACACCAUAACCUUUACGUUACCAACAACCUUGGAAGGUUCCAUCCAGUGUGGAUUGUGGUCACUCCAGUACCUGUGGUUAUGACGGUUAACUUCACCACUGGCAUAAAAGUUUGCCUCAUCACUGAAGAAGAUGCCUUGUGCAAAAGAGGGAUCCUGCUGAUGUUGGUCUAAGGCCCACGUGCAAAACUGCAUAUGUCUGUCUGGGUCAUCCUCUGCUAGGUACUGGAGUAGCUGGAUCUUGAAUGGAUGCCAUCGAUGGGCAUGAAGGAUUCAUACGAUUGAUUACUGGCUGAUUCCACAUUCUGCUGACAAACGUUGUGUGCUGCGUUGUGGGCUCUUCGCGGAGGAUGCCAAAACCAUUGUUGAAGUUGUCUCAUCAUUAGCACUUUUUGGACGACCACUUCAUGACUUGUCAGCCACAGUCCCAGUUUCUCAGAAUUUGGAAAUUAGGCACCUGAAAGUGUUAUGUGAAAUUGGAGGUCUUUCUGGGUGCCGGUUGUUAAAAUCUGCAGCUAUGACACGGAAUUUUUUUUCUCCAGACAUCAAAAUGACAUCAAUUCUCUCCAUCUUCAGUUACCUGCAACAAAAAAAGUGUUGUAACUUUUGAACCAUAACUGCUAUUUCAAAUCUGUUUGCAGCAAUAAACUUUUCAGCAAAUUCUGAUGUUAUUUGACAUGUUAAACGAUCAUUUGAAAAAACUGACUUAGAUUCAAGAUGUACACAAAACAAGAAAAAAAGAAAGACUCUGUGUUGGGGCACUCGUAUCUUGAAAUUGAAUCUGGGAUAAACUUAACUUUUAAUCAAGCCUUGAAUAAAAUUAAUGUGACUGAAAAGCGAUAAAA